GACGAACGCUGGCGGCGUGCUUAACACAUGCAAGUCGAACGGAAAGGCCUCAGCUUGCUGGGGUACUCGAGUGGCGAACGGGUGAGUAACACGUGGGUGAUCUGCCUUGCACUCUGGGAUAAGCUUGGGAAACUGGGUCUAAUACCGGAUAUGAACUGCCUGUAGUGUGGUGGUUGGAAAGUUUUUUCGGUGUAAGAUGAGCUCGCGGCCUAUCAGCUUGUUGGUGGGGGAAUGGCCUACCAAGGCGUCGACGGGUAGCCGGCCUGAGAGGGUGUACGGCCCCAUUGGGGCUGAGAUACGGCCCAGACUCCUCCGGGGGGCAGCGGUGGGGAAUAUUGCACAAUGGGCGGCAGCCUGAUGCAGCGACGCCGCGUGGGGGAUGACGGCCUUCGGGUUGUAAACUCCUUUCGUCAGGGACGAAGCUUUUUGUGACGGUACCUGUAUAAGAAGCACCGGCUAACUACGUG
rnacentral:rRNA from 1 species